rnacentral:rRNA from 1 species
GAUAAACGCUGACAGAAUGCUUAACACAUGCAAGUCUACUUGAAUUUGGGUCCUAGACUUAGAUUUGGGUGGCGGACGGGUGAGUAACGCGUAAAGAACUUGCCUCACAGUUAGGGACAACAUUUGGAAACGAAUGCUAAUACCUGAUAUUAUAAUUAUACGGCAUCGUAUAAUUAUGAAAGCUAUAUGCGCUGUGAGAGAGCUUUGCGUCCCAUUAGCUAGUUGGAGAGGUAACGGCUCACCAAGGCGAUGAUGGGUAGCCGGCCUGAGAGGGUGAACGGCCACAAGGGGACUGAGACACGGCCCUUACUCCUACGGGAGGCAGCAGUGGGGAAUAUUGGACAAUGGACCAAAGUCUGAUCCAGCAAUUCUGUGUGCACGAUGACGUUUUCGGAAUGUAAAGUGCUUUCAGUUGGGAAGAAAAAAAUGACGGUACCAACAGAAGAA